rnacentral:rRNA from 1 species
UACAGAGGGUGCAAGCGUUAAUCGGAAUUACUGGGCGUAAAGCGCGCGUAGGUGGUUUGUUAAGUUGGAUGUGAAAUCCCCGGGCUCCAACCUGGGAACUGCAUUCAAAACUGACAAGCUAGAGUAUGGUAGAGGGUGGUGGAAUUUCCUGUGUAGCGGUGAAAUGCGUAGAUAUAGGAAGGAACACCAGUGGCGAAGGCGACCACCUGGACUGAUACUGACACUGAGGCGCGAAAGCUAGGGGAGCAACAGGA